rnacentral:rRNA from 1 species
GACGAACCGUGCAAACGUUGUUCGGAAUCACUGGGCUUAAAGGGCGCGUAGGCGGCUUGCCAAGUCAGGGGUGAAAUCUUUCGGCUUAACCGGAAAAGUGCCUUUGAUACUGGCGAGCUAGAGUGAGGUAGGGGCAUGUGGAACUUCUGGUGGAGCGGUGAAAUGCGUUGAUAUCAGAAGGAACGCCGGUGGCGAAAGCGACGUGCUGGACCUCUUCUGACGCUGAGGCGCGAAAGCUAGGGGAGCAAACGGG